GGGGUUGUGGCUCAAUGUAGAGCACUCACCUAGCAUGUGUGAGGCCCUGGGUUCGAUCCUCAGCACCACA
rnacentral:tRNA from 1 species